UGGCUCAGGACGAACGCUGGCGGCAUGCCUAAUACAUGCAAGUCGAACGGACGAGGAGGAGCUUGCUCCUCCAAGUUAGUGGCGGACGGGCGAGUAACGCGUGGGCAACCUGCCUCUCAGUGGGGAACAACAGUUGGAAACGACUGCUAAUACCGCAUAACGCAGCGGGGUCGCAUGGCUCUGUUGCCAAAGGAUUUAUUCGCUGAGAGAUGGGCCCGCGUCCGAUUAGAUAGUUGGUGGGGUAACAGCCUACCAAGUCGACGAUCGGUAGCCGAACUGAGAGGUUGAUCGGCCGCAUUGGAACUGAGAUACGGUCCAGACUCCUACGGGAGGCAGCAGUAAGGGAUAUUGCACAAUGGGCGAAAGCCUGAUGCAGCAAUGCCGCGUGAGGGAAGACGGUCUUCGGAUUGUAAACCUAAGUAGUCAGGGACGAUAAUGACGGUACCUGAAGAGUAAGCUCCGGCUAACUACGUGCCAGCAGCCGCGGUAAUACGUAGGGAGCGAGCGUUGUCCGGAAUUACUGGGUGUAAAGGGUGCGUAGGCGGGCCUGCAAGUCAGAUGUGAAAUACCGGGGCUUAACUCCGGGGCUGCAUUUGAAACUGUGGGUCUUGAGUGAAGUAGAGGCAAGCGGAAUUCCCAGUGUAGCGGUGAAAUGCGUAGAUAUUGGGAGGAACACCAGUGGCGAAGGCGGCUUGCUGGGCUUUAACUGACGCUGAGGCACGAAAGUAUGGGGAGCAAACAGGAUUAGAUACCCUGGUAGUCCAUACCGUAAACGAUGAUUACUAGGUGUGGGGGGACUGACCCCCUCUGUGCCGCAGUUAACACAAUAAGUAAUCCACCUGGGGAGUACGACCGCAAGGUUGAAACUCAAAGGAAUUGACGGGGGCCCGCACAAGCAGUGGAGUAUGUGGUUUAAUUCGACGCAACGCGAAGAACCUUACCAGGUCUUGACAUCCAACUAACGAGGUAGAGAUACGUCAGGUGCCCUUCGGGGAAAGUUGAGACAGGUGGUGCAUGGUUGUCGUCAGCUCGCGUCGUGAGAUGUUGGGUUAAGUCCCGCAACGAGCGCAACCCUUGUUUUUAGUUGCUACGCAAGAGCACUCUAAAGAGACUGCCGUUGACAAAACGGAGGAAGGUGGGGACGACGUCAAAUCAUCAUGCCCUUUAUGACCUGGGCUACACACGUACUACAAUGGCUGUUAACAGAGGGAAGCAAAACCGCGAGGUGGAGCAAAACCCUAAAAGCGGUCUCAGUUCAGAUUGCAGGCUGCAACUCGCCUGCAUGAAGUUGGAAUUGCUAGUAAUCGCGGAUCAGCAUGCCGCGGUGAAUACGUUCCCGGGCCUUGCACUCACCGCCCGUA
rnacentral:rRNA from 1 species